CGCGUCCCCGCCGCCCCCU
rnacentral:rRNA from 1 species